rnacentral:rRNA from 1 species
UGGGGAAUCUUCCGCAAUGGACGAAAGUCUGACGGAGCAACGCCGCGUGAGUGAUGAAGGAUUUCGGUCUGUAAAGCUCUGUUGUUUAUGACGAACGUGCAGUGUGUGAACAAUGCAUUGCAAUGACGGUAGUAAACGAGGAAGCCACGGCUAACUACGUGCCAGCAGCCGCGGUAAUACGUAGGUGGCGAGCGUUGUCCGGAAUUAUUGGGCGUAAAGAGCAUGUAGGCGGCUUAAUAAGUCGAGCGUGAAAAUGCGGGGCUCAACCCCGUAUGGCGAUGGAAACUGUUAGGCUUGAGUGCAGGAGAGGAAAGGGGAAUUCCCAGUGUAGCGGUGAAAUGCGUAGAUAUUGGGAGGAACACCAGUGGCGAAGGCGCCUUUCUGGACUGUGUCUGACGCUGAGAUGCGAAAGCCAGGGUAGCGAACGGG